rnacentral:rRNA from 1 species
UACGAAGGGGGCUAGCGUUGUUCGUAAUUACUGGGCGUAAAGCGUGCGCAGGCGGCCAUCCAAGUCCGUGGUGAAAGCCCGGAGCUCAACUCCGGAAUUGCCAUUGAAACUGUUUGGCUCGAGUACGAGAGAGGUGAGUGGAAUUCCCAGUGUAGAGGUGAAAUUCGUAGAUAUUCGGAAGAACACCAGUGGCGAAGGCGGCUCACUGGACCGGUAUUGACGCUGAGGUGCGAAAGCGUGGGGAGCAAACAGG